rnacentral:hammerhead_ribozyme from 1 species
AUCCAACUGACGAAUCCCAAAUAGGACGAAACGCGUGUCCUGGAU